rfam:Myotis lucifugus cont2.89, whole genome shotgun sequence.
AGACACCCUUCUGGGGCAAGACUUGCUUCAGUGGGGCUUUGGUGCUCACUGAGUCUUCCCCCUGAGUGUGUCCCU